AGUCCCUGACAUCUUUGGCGACUCCGCCGGGACCCGUCUGACUCUCCGGCGGGGGAUCGGACCCUGAGGCAACGCAGCGCGCAUCCUCCAGUUUAGAGGAGCCUUGCCUGGUGAUCUGAUCUCUGCGUUGGCGAUAAGGCGUGUUCUGUGAACCAGCUGAAACUCGUAGAAAUCCAGCAACGUCCACCUACCCGUUGAGUAGGGUCCAGGUUGUCGGGGUUAGAGUCCCUGACUACUUAGGUCUGGGUUAGAGUCCCAGUCCAGGUCUGGGUUAGAGUCCCAGUCCAGGUUUGCGCAGGAUCCAAGUUGUCUGGGUUUGAGUCCCAGUCCAGGUAUUCAAGUCCCUGGAGAGAUAAUCAGAGAAAACUGAUGCCAGCUAAACAGCAUUCAACGUACCAUGCAUUUACUGGCACAAUAGAAAUUAUGUUUUGUGUUCUAUGUUCUGUCUUGUGGUGUUAGUCUUGUGGCCGGAAUUUUUGUGUUUAAUAUUUUUAUAAAAUAAUCUAGUUUAAAAUCAAACAAAAAGGUUAAAUUAAAAUGCAGAUACUUGUUUUGUUCAACUUGGAAUACAAAGUGUUUAGAUAACUCAGGAGAAUGUGAUAUACUAAAGUCUAAUGCAUUUCCUUAAGUAAGGAAAAGAAACUUUAUUGGUCAAAUUGUUAAUUGCAAAAAUUGUUGUUAAAAUUUGCAUACCAACAGUCUUUGAAAGCAAAGACAUGAAAAGUUAACCCACUCCCCAUAUUGUACAUGGGAUCUUUCUGGCUACCUCAGAUUUCUAGCCAGAGGGCUGGGGAUGGUGGAAGGCUAUUGGACUAGAGGUUGUAUUGAGUGAACUCCUCAAAGUGGGUGUGCUUGUCCUGGCUUGUUGCUCGAAAGCUCUGUAAUAAGGUUAUUUUAGUAAAAGGUUAUGUGUGGCAUAUAUUGAAUAAUAAGACUAAUGUACUGUAUAAUGACAAUGUGUAGGUGUUCAUUGUUGGGAAAAAGGUGUAUAAGUAAAAAGUGAAAGUUUCCUUUGCAGGUUAAAAGAAGCGAAGAAGGAAAGAAGGACAAAGAACAGAAUGAAUUAACUGAAAAAAAUAAAAUAAAAUAAAAUAAAAUAAAAUAGCAAGCUCAGGCUAUAGAUAAGACACUGACUCCAUUCAAGGACACUGCUCACAGUUAAGACUUGGUUAACAACCAGGAAAAGGAGAGCUUGAAUUUGCCCAUGCAGCUAUGAGAUCUGAAAAACACUGCCAGGCACUAAUGAAAUGUGUUAAGUUUCUUUUCUCACAGGU